GAUCCUGGCUCAGGAUGAACGCUGGCGGCGUGCUUAACACAUGCAAGUCGAACGGGAAAUUUUUUUUUUUUUAUUCAUUGAGACUUCGGUGGAUUUGAUCUAUUUCUAGUGGCGGACGGGUGAGUAACGCGUGGGUCCUAAAAAAAAAAAAAAAAAAAAAAAAGCCUUAUACAGGGGGAUAACAGUCAGAAAUGGCUGCUAAUACCGCAUAAGCGCACAGAGCUGCAUGGCUCAGUGUGAAAAACUCCGGUGGUAUAAGAUGGACCCG
rnacentral:rRNA from 1 species